rnacentral:rRNA from 1 species
GUGAAUCAUCGAAUCUUUGAACGCAAAUUGCGCUUUUGAGUUUAAAAUCUCAAGAGCGUGUCUGUUUGAGUGUCGGCAAAAAACAAUCGUCAAAAUCAGAAAUGAUUUGGAUGGAGAUGGUGUUUCAUUACUCUUCGGGGAAAUGAUUCACUUAAGUGAAUUUGUUGGAAUGUAUUAAAAUUCUUCUUACCCAUCAAGUGGUAUUUAAGCCUUUUUUGGCAAAAUCCCUUGAAAGUUUGAAAAAUACAAUCAUUCAAAAAUCAACGACCAUCUUGCCCCACAAAGUCAAGGUAAUCAAAACUAAAAUCUCGACCUCAAAUCAGACAAGAUUACCCGCUGAAUUUAAGCAUAUCAAUAAGCGGAGGA